rnacentral:rRNA from 1 species
AACACAUGCAAGUCGAACGAGAAAGUGGAGCAAUCCAUGAGUACAGUGGCGUACGGGUGAGUAACACGUGACUAACCUACCCUCGAGUGGGGAAUAACUUCGGGAAACCGAGGCUAAUACCGCAUAAUGUCUACGGACCAAAUGCGCAAGCAGCUUGAGGAGGGGGUCGCGGCUGAUUAGCUUGUUGGCGGGGUAACGGCCCACCAAGGCAAUGAUCAGUAGCCGGCCUGAGAGGGCGCACGGCCACACUGGAACUGAAACACGGUCCAGACUCCUACGGGAGGCAGCAGUGGGGAAUUUUGCGCAAUGGGGGAAACCCUGACGCAGCAACGCCGCGUGGAGGAUGAAGCCCCUUGGGGUGUAAACUCCUUUCGAUCGGGACGAUUAUGACGGUACCGGAUGAAGAAGCACCGGCUAACUCUGUGCCAGCAGCCGCGGUAAUACAGAGGGUGCAAGCGUUGUUCGGAAUUAUUGGGCGUAAAGGGUGCGUANGCGGUGCGGUAAGUCUUCUGUGAAACCUCUGGGCUUAACUCGGAGCCUGCAGGGGAAACUGCCGUGCUG